GACGAACGCUGGCGGCGUGCUUAACACAUGCAAGUCGAACGGAAAGGCCUCUUUCGGGGGGUACUCGCGUGGCGAACGGGUGAGUAACACGUGAGUAACCUGCCCUUGACUUUGGGAUAACUUCAGGAAACUGGGGCUAAUACCGGAUAGGAGCUCCUGCUGCAUGGUGGGGGUUGGAAAGUUUCGGCGGUUGGGGAUGGACUCGCGGCGUAUCAGCUUGUUGGUGGGGUAGUGGCUUACCAAGGCGUUGACGGGUAGCCGGCCUGAGAGAGUGACCGGCCACAUUGGGACUGAGAUACGGCCCAGACUCCUACGGGAGGCAGCAGUGGGGAAUAUUGCACAAUGGGUGGAAGCCUGAUGCAGCAACGCCGUGUGCGGGAUGACGGCCUUCGGGUUGUAAACCGCUUUCGCUCAUGACGAAGCUUUGUGUGACGGUAGUGGGUAAAGAAGCACCGGCUAACUACGUG
rnacentral:rRNA from 1 species